rnacentral:rRNA from 1 species
AGAGUUUGAUCCUGGCUCAGGACGAACGCUGGCGGCAUGCCUAAUACAUGCAAGUCGAACGCUGAAACACUCUGCUUGCAGAGUGUGGAUGAGUGGCGAACGGGUGAGUAACACGUGGGGAAUCUGCCUAUAAGUGGGGGAUAACAUUCGGAAACGGAUGCUAAUACCGCAUAUAUUCAAAAACCGCAUGGUUUCUGAAAGAAAGACGGCUUUACUGUCGCUUAUAGAUGAUCCCGCGGCGUAUUAGUUAGUUGGUGGGGUAAUGGCCUACCAAGACCAUGAUACGUAGCCGACCUGAGAGGGUGAUCGGCCACACUGGGACUGAGACACGGCCCAGACUCCUACGGGAGGCAGCAGUAGGGAAUCUUCCACAAUGGGUGCAAACCUGAUGGAGCAAUGCCGCGUGAAUGAAGAAGGUCUUCGGAUCGUAAAGUUCUGUUAUUAGAGAAGAACAAGUCAAGGAGUAACUGUCUUGACUUUGACGGUACCUAACCAGAAAGUCACGGCUAACUACGUGCCAGCAGCCGCGGUAAUACGUAGGUGACAAGCGUUGUCCGGAAUUAUUGGGCGUAAAGGGAGCGCAGGCGGUUGGAAUAGUCUGAUGUGAAAGCCCACGGCUUAACCGUGGAAGGUCAUUGGAAACUGUCCACUUGAAUGC